rnacentral:lncRNA from 1 species
CUCAGUACAUUUUAUAUAGCCCCAAUCCAACACAACCUCAUUACCACCACUAGAACCACCAUCUCCAUCACACCACACCACAUCACAUCGCCAUGACCAACAAAAAUUCCCAAACCUACUAUCACCGCAGCCAUAGCGGUCGUCGCCACCACCACCAUUGCCACCGCUACGACCACCAAUCCACAACCACAACCAUUACCACCGCCAUCUCUAUCACCAUCUCUAUCACCACCAGCAACAGUCUGCCAUCUCUACCACAUCACAAUCACAACCCCACAAAAAAUAUCCCGAAAUCCACCUGCACUAUUAACAAUCACAACCACCACAACAAUCAACACAAGAAAAUAGAUGAGAUAGAGCGCCUUAUAGUCCAACCGAACCUCAACAAAAAAACCACACCGACCAUCACCCCACCAUCAUCUGGUAAUUGCAAUGCAAACCUCUAAAGCCACGAUGCCACUACUACAACCGUCGAAUCUGCAAAUUUGCGUGCACUGUCGAUCGACAUCGGGAUAAAGAGGGUGGGAAAUAGAAAAUACAAAGGCCUUUGUGCAUCGAUUUCUCCAACGAUGAUUGAUCGUCAACGCGGCUCUAGAGAGAAGUCACAGGAAAAGACCGUCGGUAGGAAGGAAUGAGGGAGGGAAGUAUAAAUAAAUUAGGAUUUGGAUUAAAAUUGAGAUGAAUGUGGUGGUGUGCGUGACGUGGGGUUGCGUUGGGUUGGGUUAAUCUGUAUAUUACUUUUAUUAUUAUUAUUAGUUGAAUUAUCAUCUGAUAAACUUUUUAAA